GCCACCGACCAUAUUACGUUGAGUACAUCGGUUCUCGUCCGAUCGCGGAAAGUAAGCAGCGUCGUGCGCGGUUGGUACUUAGAUGGGCGACCGCUUGGGAACACCUCGUGAUCUAGUCU
rfam:Drosophila persimilis strain MSH-3 cont1.019573, whole genome shotgun sequence.